rnacentral:rRNA from 1 species
AUAUGCUUGUUUCCAAGAUUAAGCCAUGCAUGCCUUUUGAAUAGCUGUAGAAAUCGCUACUUAUAACUAAGUGGUGUACGGCAAAUCUGCGAAUAGCUCCGUAUAUCUGUGAUAACCCUGCUGAUAAAUAUUAAAAGUUCACUAGCAUAAUCUAGUGAGUCAGCCUGUUAUUUCCUCCUUGGAGGAGAUGACUACAAAUCUUAAUUUGGGACUGAUAUUUCAGUAACUUUUUAUCUUUUGUUGUGCUUACUUACAUGGAUAUCCGACGGUAAUUCUGCGGCUAAUACAUGCUUUCUUGAUAGCUCAAGGUAUUAUUUAUGGCCUUCUCUAACAGAGAAAGCCCUCUAAUUUUAAUGCUAGCUGUCAUGGAGGACUACCUCCUUGAACCCUUACCUUAAUUUGGUAUGCAACACUCUUUUACUGAGUGAAUAUCUCUCCUUGACUAACUGGUACGUUCCCCCUAUUGUUACAUCGUUUUCUUUUAGGGGGUUUCUCCGGUAAAUUAGAGGGGUUUCAGCUCUAUCAACUGUUGAGCAGGGUAUUGACCUGUUCAGGUGAUCACGGAUACAGAGAAUCAGGGCUCGAUUCUGGAGAGGAAGCUUAAAAAUCCGCUUCUACUUCUAAGGAAGGCAGCAGGCGCGAAACGUUCCCAAUAACUGCCCUAUACACAGGUCGAGGACGUUAGGAAACAUACGGAACUGGGCUAUUAUGGCUCAGACAUUCGGAUGAGGGCAAAAUAGAACUCUCACCUAGUAACAAUUAGUGGGAAAGUCUGGUGCCAGCAACCGCGGUAAUUCCAGCACUAAGAGCAUAUUAUUAUUUUGUUGCAUUUAAAACGCUCGUAGUCCAUUCUCGGCCAAAAUGAGGCUUCCUAACGGAGUAUAAGUAGAACGUCAAGCAAGGCCCGAACUCGUUUGGGGUAGCCUACUGGUCCACUUCCUUAUAUCUUCUCCUGUGGAGGCUGCAGUGGAGGCCAAAACGCGCUCUGCUUGUUAGGUCAGACUUUAACUAGACUGGCUGAGCAGGUAAAGCAUCCUACCUUGAGCAAAUUAGCUUGCUUAAAGCAGGUCUUUCCCAUUAGACAAAUGAAUAUUACAGCAUGGGAUAACACAUCUCCUGGACAAGUUGGUUCUGUGUUUUGAGCACAGGAGAAGUAACGUUUAAAAGGAGUUGAGGGGGCCAGCCAAACUAUUGGGCGAGGGGUGAAAUCCGCUGACCCUAAUGGGUUGAACUCAAGCGAAAGCAGCCGGCUACUAUGCUCCUGUUGAUCAAGAACGAUAGUCGGGGGAUCGAAAAUGAUUAGAUACCGUUGUAGUCCCUUCUGUAAAAUCUGCCGACCACAGUUAGAGUAAGCUCUUUUUCUGACUCUCCCUGAAUGCCAGGUAAACUCUUAAGUAGGGCUAUGGGGGGAGUAUGG